AUGCUCGCUUUGGCAGCACAUAUACUAAAAUUGGAACGAUACAGAGAAGAUUAGCAUGGCCCCUGCGCGAGGAUGACAAAUUCGUGAAGCAUUCCAUAUGUUU
rnacentral:snRNA from 1 species